UACGAAGGGGGCUAGCGUUGCUCGGAAUCACUGGGCGUAAAGGGCGCGUAGGCGGAUCUUUUAAGUCGGGGGUGAAAGCCCAGGGCUCAACCCUGGGAUGCCGUCGAUACUGCCGGACUAGAGUUCGGAAGAGGCGAGUGGGAAUUCCUGGUGUAGCGGUGAAAUGCGCAGAUAUCAGGAAGAACACCCGUGGCGAAAGCGGCUCUCUGGAACGGUACUGACGCUGAGACGCCGAAAGCGUGGGGAGCGAACAGG
rnacentral:rRNA from 1 species